rnacentral:rRNA from 1 species
CCUACGGGAGGCAGCAGUGGGGAAUCUUAGACAAUGGGCGCAAGCCUGAUCUAGCCAUGCCGCGUGUGUGACGAAGGCCUUAGGGUCGUAAAGCACUUUCGCCUGUGAUGAUAAUGACAGUAGCAGGUAAAGAAACCCCGGCUAACUCCGUGCCAGCAGCCGCGGUAAUACGGAGGGGGUUAGCGUUGUUCGGAAUUACUGGGCGUAAAGCGCACGUAGGCGGAUUGGAAAGUAUGGGGUGAAAUCCCAGGGCUCAACCCUGGAACUGCCUCAUAAACUUCCAGUCUAGAGUUCGAGAGAGGUGAGUGGAAUUCCGAGUGUAGAGGUGAAAUUCGUAGAUAUUCGGAGGAACACCAGUGGCGAAGGCGGCUCACUGGCUCGAUACUGACGCUGAGGUGCGAAAGUGUGGGGAGCAAACAGGAUUAGAUACCCUGGUAGUCCACACCGUAAACGAUGAAUGCCAGUCGUCGGCAAGCAUGCUUGUCGGUGACACACCUAACGGAUUAAGCAUUCCGCCUGGGGAGUACGGUCGCAAGAUUAAAACUCAAAGGAAUGACGGAAUCGUCGACNGNAGGNNUNAUUC